UACGUAGGGGGCGAGCGUUGUCCGGAUUUAUUGGGCGUAAAGAGCGUGUAGGCGGCCAGGUAGGUCCGUUGUGAAAACUCGAGGCUCAACCUCGAGACGUCGAUGGAAACCAUCUGGCUAGAGUCCGGAAGAGGAGAGUGGAAUUCCUGGUGUAGCGGUGAAAUGCGCAGAUAUCAGGAAGAACACCUAUGGCGAAGGCAGCUCUCUGGGACGGUACUGACACUGAGGCGCGAAAGCCAGGGGAGCAAACGGG
rnacentral:rRNA from 1 species